GGAGGCGAGGCCUGGGGGACCCUGGCGUCUCCAAUACAGGAGCUUCCUGGGCCUGGCAGCCCCUCCCUCCCUGUCUCCUGUUAGGAGGGGCAGGUUUUCAGGUGGCCGGGACAGGUGAAGGCAGAGAGGAGUGGCUGUCCACCUGGGGAAGCAUCCUGAAAACAUCACACACAGUGGACCACGCUUUGCCCUCAGAGUGACUGCUCUGACCCAGAAGGAGAGGUCAACGACCCCUCAGGACACAAAGGGUUUCUUAGGUUGUUCUGCACAGUCACAUGGCUUCCAGCACCAGAACGUUCAGCUCUUAAAGUCUGCACAGAAGAACUGAUAGAAUCUGCUCCUUUCAAUGGAAUCUGUGGCUGUUUGGGAAGGAUGUGCAUGGAGAAGGGUCUGAUGAGGCUCCUGAUCCAGGCGGUCCACAUGCGUUCAGUGUGUUCGGACCCUAGGCACCUCUGUCUAUUGCUCGGUCUUGCGUACAUAGUCCAUAGCUUGGCAUCAGCACAAAUCGAUGCUUAGUGAGCACAAUUAAGAAACCAAACUAUGGAAAGUUAAGGACAGUAACAAAAGUAUCAUCAACAAAAAUCAAGCAUUUUCCUCUUUUUGAAACAAGAAAAGCGCAUCGUAGAAACCAAGAUUCUGUACAAUAUUCUAACAUUAUAUGUACAUAAAAUUAUAUUACUCAUAA